CUCAGAGGUCAUGGCGCUUGUAGGUCGAGGGGUCAAAAGGGAAUGGUGAGAGGCUCAGCGACGUGGCGUAUGGAGGAUCUCCUGUUGGCUCACUGAACGGGUGCUGUGCAGCAGCCUUGGCUCAAGUCUGGAAGAGCAGGAGAGCAUCUGGGGAAGUCACCGAAGUGAAAGGUAGAGUCCUUCCCUCGUGCAUGUUCACAAGUUCUUCAUUUAGCCUCUGCAAUGGCCGCUGCUGCAACGCACAAACACAAAACCACACAAGACGUGGAAAUGGCAAUUGGAUCUGCAGAGUGACUAAAAGCUGGGGAAUUGUUUUCACAAGUGCCUGCCAAAUGGGGGGAACAGCUCGGGAGGAAUUCCAACCCUCUGGAGGAGCCGAAAGGCUCGUCCCCUUUCCCUCUCUGUGUAACCCCCCCACACUGUAUUCCCAUUCUCUGACUCUCGACGUGCCUCACUCUCCUGUCAACUCCAUGCCCCCCCCGCACUUUCCCAGUUUCUCAGAUCCCGCUCAGGCAGACACAAACGAUGAAAAAACUAAAGAAGCUUUAACAUUUUAAUUUGGUAGCUAUUCUUAGAGCGGUGCUGAACUUAAAAAUGUGUCCUGUGCUGGAACUUUUUUAUGGUAGUGGGGGCUUUUGCAGCACGAUUUCAGAAAAAGACAAUCAUCUGGUACAUGUGAGAGAACUUACUCACCAAUUGUUCUGUACUUCAGUCAGUCACAGAACAUUCGUAGAUUUGUCACUACUGGACUGAGAAUGUCAUGUAACUGUUACUCAUCACUGGAGUGAAGAUGUUGCAUUCAGACCAGACUCUGAUUUAACAAAUAAAAUUGUUGUUUAGUGCUUGAUGCUUCUGGAAGAUAGAAAUUACAAAGGAGACUGGAGACUGAAUACAGAGUGGGCCAAUGCCAGGGUCUAGUUAACAAUGGCUGGAUGAAUUCAGCCUCCUAAGGAUACAGAAAUCUACAUCUAAGCCUUCAUCUACCAUCCAUGCAGUAACUUUCAUAUGUCCUUGAACAACAAAGAGCCUAUUGGCCCACGCAUUUUCCAUUCAUGCUCACUGUAUAUAAUCAAGGUGGGAGAACUUCAAUGUGCCUUCCUACCAGGAAGAACACCAACCCCUAUGUCUCUUUUUCCUCCAAUUCCCCUGGAGAGCCAAGAUGAGGAAGAAGAAGGGAAAUACUGGGCUCCUGCAAAAAAAAAAACCUUGCUUAAUUGCAAGUAGAAAAAAACAAAUGUUUAGCAGCAGACUCAAGCCAAACAAGCCAGGCUAGAGGGACUAGGGUAAGGAAAGAGGAACUGAGAGAAGAGAUAUGCCCGAUGAG